CGUUGAGGUAAGUAGGGACGUUUUUUCUUCUUUGUUUAUUUACUCUUUCUGGGAAAAGAUGUGAGUUCUUUCUGACUGAGACGUAUCAGUGCAAUAUUGUUGACUGAUGAUGAUGGAUGUUUUUUGCAACACUUAGUAAGAUUCACUUUAUGUAACAAACUGCUUGUUACUGACACUUAAAUGGUUAGAGGCUAUUGCCUUAUAUGGUGUUUAUGUAGAUUAGGCUACAUCGUGGGAUUUCACCCAUGUGAUUCUACAUCCUGCCUGAAACAAGACAUGUUCAGAACUCACACAGGGAUAUUUAUUUGCACAAGGUGUUUCUGAUCUGUUGGGAUCCCUGACUGAACUUAGUUUGCUGUCUCUAUAUCAGGACAUGACAUCCUUUAAACUUUUAAAGCCCCCAUGCAGUCUUUUUAAUUGUGUUUUUUAAUCAUUACUGUAUGUCUAAUAAGUCCCCGUUUGUUUAUUUAAUAAAAUAAUUCCAAAAUAUAUUUUUUAUCAUUUAGUUCCCUGAGCCUCUUUUGGCCAUAGAAAUGAUCAGUCUGAUCAUGUGGGUGUAGGAAACAAAUGAUAUAUAUAUAAUAUAUUGUGCAUACUCGCAUAAAAAGGUAACGGCACUGUUCCUUUAAGUUAAAAGGCAGUCCUCUGACGAUCAUCUUAUAAAGUCACUAUCAUAACUUAAUCAUUACUUAUAUCCUUGCCACUGGGUAACACGGGUUGAAUCAAUGUUGUCACUUUAAUAAAAAUGGUUGUUUGUAGACAUAUCUACUGUAUCUACUAUAGGCCUUGGGGUGGCAGGUAGCCUAGUGGUUAGAGCGUUGGGCCAGUAACCAAAAGAUUGCUGGAUGGAAUCCCCGAGCUGACAAGGUAAAUAUCUGUCAUUCUGCCCCUGAACAAGGCAGUUAACCCACUGUUCCCCGGUAGGCCGACAAGGUAAAUAUCUGUCAUUCUGCCCCUGAACAAGGCAGUUAACCCACUGUUCCCCGGUAGGCCGACAAGGUAAAUAUCUGUCAUUCUGCCCCUGAACAAGGCAGUUAACCCACUGUUCCCCGGUAGGCCGACAAGGUAAAUAUCUGUCAUUCUGCCCCUGAACAAGGCAGUUAACCCACUGUUCCCCGGUAGGCCGACAAGGUAAAUAUCUGUCAUUCUGCCCCUGAACAAGGCAGUUAACCCACUGUUCCCCGGUAGGCCGACAAGGUAAAUAUCUGUCAUUCUGCCCCUGAACAAGGCAGUUAACCCACUGUUCCCCAGUAGGCUGACAAGGUAAAUAUCUGUCAUUCUGCCCCUGAACAAGGCAGUUAACCCACUGUUCCCCGGUAGGCCGACAAGGUAAAUAUCUGUCAUUCUGCCCCUGAACAAGGCAGUUAACCCACUGUUCCCCGGUAGGCCGACAAGGUAAAUAUCUGUCAUUCUGCCCCUGAACAAGGCAGUUAACCCACUGUUCCCUGGUAGGCUGACAAGGUAAAUAUCUGUCAUCCUGCCCCUGAACAAGGCAGUUAACCCACUGUUCCCUGGUAGGCCGUCAUUGUAAAUAAUAAUUUGUUCUUAACUGACUUGCCUAGUUAAAUAAAGGUUCAAUUUAAAACAUG